UGGUACUACAUGUACAGGAUAGGUGGGAGGCUUUGAAACCAGGACGCCAGUUUUGGCGGAGCCUUCCUUUUUUUACCUCCCUUUUUUUUCCU
rnacentral:rRNA from 1 species